rnacentral:tRNA from 1 species
GAGGUUUUAGCUUAAUUAAAGUGUCUGGGUUGCAGUCAGAAGAUGUAGGUUAAAUCUUACAGAUCUUA